ACCUGGCUGGCUCAGUUGGUAGAGCAUGUGACUCUUGAUCUCAGGGUUGUGAGUUCAAACCCCCACAUUGGGUG
rnacentral:tRNA from 1 species